CCGAGGAAAAGAAAUCAACCGAGGGAUUCCCCCAAGUAGUGGCGAGCGAACGGGGAUGAGCCUGCACGACUAAAACCGAUUACUUAGCAGAACAGUCUGGAAAGGCUGGCGAUAGUGGGUGAUAGCCCCGUAUGCGAAAAGUAGUUGGCGGGUCUGAGCGUGCGACAAGUAGGGCGGGACACGAGAAAAUCCUGUCUGAAGAUGGGGGGACCAUCCUCCAAGGCUAAAUACUCGUGAUCGACCGAUAGUGAACCAGUACCGUGAGGGAAAGGCGAAAAGAACCCCGGGAGGGGAGUGAAAUAGAUCCUGAAACCGCAUGCAUACAAACAGUGGGAGCCUCGCAAGGGGUGACUGCGUACCUUUGAUAAUGGGUCAGCGACUUACGUUCAGUAGCAAGCUUAACCGGAUAGGGGAGCGUAGCGAAAGCGAGUCUGAUAAGGGCGA
rnacentral:rRNA from 1 species